rnacentral:rRNA from 1 species
GGCUGGCAUGUAAGUCAGAUGUGAAAUUUCGGAGCUCAACUCCGGAACAGCAUUUGAAACUGUGUGUCUAGAGGGUAGGCGGAGAAAAUAGAAUUCCACAAGUAGCGGUGAAAUGCGUAGAUAUGUGGAAGAAUACCAGUGGCGAAGGCGAUUUUCUAGCUUAUACCUGACGCUGAGGCGCGAAAGCAAGGGGAUCAAACAGGAUUAGAUACCCUGGUAGUCCUUGCCGUAAACUAUGUAUACUUGGUGUAAUCGGACUCAACCCUGAUUGUGCCGUAGCUAACGCGAUAAGUAUACCGCCUGGGGAGUACAGUCGCAAGGCUGAAACUCAAAAGAAUUGACGGGGACCCGCACAAGCAGUGGAGCAUGUGGUUUAAUUCGAUGCAACGCGAAGAACCUUACCCAGGCUUGACAUGCACAGGAAUAUAACAGAGAUGUUAUAGCUUUCGGGGCCUGUGCACAGGUGCUGCAUGGCUGUCGUCAGCUCGUGCCGUGAGGUGUUCGGUUAAGUCCAGCAACGAGCGCAACCCUUAUCAUUAGUUGCCAACAUUUCGGAUGGGAACUCUAAUGAGACUGCCUAGGUUAACUAGGAGGAAGGUGAGGAUGACGUCAAGUCCGCAUGGCCCUUAUGUCUGGGGCUACACACGUGCUACAAUGGUCGGUACAGAAGGCAGCAGAACCGCGAGGUGAAGCAAAUCCUGAA